GGCAGUCUAUACAUGCAGUCGAGCGGACAGAUGGGAGCUUGCUCCCUGAUGUUAGCGGCGGACGGGUGAGUAACACGUGGGUAACCUGCCUGUAAGACUGGGAUAACUCCGGGAAACCGGGGCUAAUACCGGAUGCUUGUUUGAACCGCAUGGUUCAAACAUAAAAGGUGGCUUCGGCUACCACUUACAGAUGGACCCGCGGCGCAUUAGCUAGUUGGUGAGGUAAUGGCUCACCAAGGCGACGAUGCGUAGCCGACCUGAGAGGGUGAUCGGCCACACUGGGACUGAGACACGGCCCAGACUCCUACGGGAGGCAGCAGUAGGGAAUCUUCCGCAAUGGACGAAAGUCUGACGGAGCAACGCCGCGUGAGUGAUGAAGGUUUUCGGAUCGUAAAGCUCUGUUGUUAGGGAAGAACAAGUACCGUUCGAAUAGGGCGGUACCUUGACGGUACCUAACCAGAAAGCCACGGCUAACUACGUGCCAGCAGCCGCGGUAAUACGUAGGUGGCAAGCGUUGUCCGGAAUUAUUGGGCGUAAAGGGCUCGCAGGCGGUUUCUUAAGUCUGAUGUGAAAGCCCCCGGCUCAACCGGGGAGGGUCAUUGGAAACUGGGGAACUUGAGUGCAGAAGAGGAGAGUGGAAUUCCACGUGUAGCGGUGAAAUGCGUAGAGAUGUGGAGGAACACCAGUGGCGAAGGCGACUCUCUGGUCUGUAACUGACGCUGAGGAGCGAAAGCGUGGGGAGCGAACAGGAUUAGAUACCCUGGUAGUCCACGCCGUAAACGAUGAGUGCUAAGUGUUAGGGG
rnacentral:rRNA from 1 species